ACAGAGCGCCGGAUGCCGGAAAGUUGGUCAAACUUGAUCAUUUAGAGGAAGUAAAAGUCGUAACAAGGUUUCCGUAGGUGAACCUGCGGAAGGAUCAUUACCGAUACAGUCCGACAACAACUUUGUUGUUUGCCCUGUGAACCGUACCUGACCAUUAUUAGGGGUCGGCCGGCCAGGCCGUUAAAUGGCGAUCGGACGCGACCGGAGACAAGGUCGCGGCCGCCCCGCCCGCCCCGCCGGUGUUUUGACAACGUACGCUUCUGUGGUCUGAUCUUGCGGCCUGCCCGAUGGCGGCGGCCGACAGUUGCAAAAUGAAAGAGAGACAACUUUUGACGGUGGAUCUCUUGGCUCACGCAUCGAUGAAGAACGCAGCCAGCUGCGAUAAGUAGUGUGAAUUGCAGAAUUCAGUGAAUCAUCGAAUCUUUGAACGCAAAUGGCGCUCUUGGGUUCUCCCAGGAGCAUGUCUGUCUGAGUGUCGGAUAUCAUCCAUCGCGAGAGCGGGCGCCAGCCCGCGCUUGCGGCGUUGAGGCGUCACGGCCCACCCUGUGGCGGCCGUGUCCCUUGAAAGGCAGCGAGACUCGCUGCGGUCUGUUUCCCACAGCGCAGCAGCGGAGGCCAAAAGUGUUGGCGAUCCUCCGCGCGCUGGCGGGGUCCCGGCCGCGCGAGUCGUCCAGGCGAGAGUUGAUUUAUCUCUUGACCUCAGAU
rnacentral:sRNA from 1 species